CCUACGGGUGGCUGCAGUGGGGAAUAUUGGACAAUGGGGGGAACCCUGAUCCAGCCAUGCCGCGUGUGUGAAGAAGGCCCUCGGGUUGUAAAGCACUUUCAGUGAGGAAGAACGCCUGGUGGUUAAUACCCAUCAGGAAAGACAUCACUCACAGAAGAAGCACCGGCUAACUCCGUGCCAGCAGCCGCGGUAAUACGGAGGGUGCGAGCGUUAAUCGGAAUUACUGGGCGUAAAGCGCGCGUAGGUGGCUUGAUAAGCCGGUUGUGAAAGCCCCGGGCUCAACCUGGGAACGGCAUCCGGAACUGUCAAGCUAGAGUGCAGGAGAGGAAGGUAGAAUUCCCGGUGUAGCGGUGAAAUGCGUAGAGAUCGGGAGGAAUACCAGUGGCGAAGGCGGCCUUCUGGACUGACACUGACACCGAGGUGCGAAAGCGUGGGUAGCAAACAGGAUUAGAUACCCUAGUAGUC
rnacentral:rRNA from 1 species